rnacentral:rRNA from 1 species
UGCAUGGCCCGUUCUUAGUUCGUGGAGUGAUCUGUCUGCUUAAUUGCGUAUCAUAAAAAGAGACCUAGUAUACGCGUAAGAUAUCGUUUACGGUUCGUGACCCCCUUCGGGCGUGUGUCGCACGUACGUAUCAUACGCACUGGUCUCCGAUAGCAACGAACGUGACCGUACUCUAUUGUUGCAGCGAAUGUAUGCAUCUUCGGGUGUAUCUACCGCUGCUUAGCAUAUUUCAUGCCUCGUGCGUGUGUAUGCAUUAAACUAUAGAGACCGCUGUAUUUUUUUAAACCAGAGGAAGGAUACGGCAAUAACAGGUCUGUGAUGCCCUCAGAUGUUCCGGGCUGCACACGUGCUACAAUGAUCAUUGCACUGUGCAUCUAACCCAAUGUGCGUGGACGCCACGGUAUGUAUUUAUGCUCCGGCGUAGUAUAUAUCAGUUGGUCGGCCGCGCCGAACCUACUUCGAAAGUAAAAUUUCUCAGUGGGUAAUCCAUUAGAAGUAAUGACUCGCAUAGACCAUGGUACACACUUAUAUAUGUACGCGCAGGUUCUACCCGGCCGGCCUUUGUGUCGGUGCAGUGCGUAGCUUGUUGUUUCGUACGUACCACUCCGUAUUAAUUCAUACGUGGGGAUAGAUCAUUGUUUAAUUGUUGGUCUCGGUCUUAACUAGGAAUGCCUUGUACGGGUCUCCGGUUCAACAUACCACCCGGAAUACGUCCCUGCCCUUUGUACACACCGCCCGUCGCUCUUACCGAUGGAUUAUACUAUGAAUCUAUAGGACUGCCCAAGUUGUGCACUCGUGCACGCUUAGUGGAAAUAUAUAUGAAUAGUG